UCAUUGACUUUGAUAGUUAUCGAAUCAGUUUACCUUUGUACUCCGAGAAGAACACAUCGAAGCUCUCUCUUUCUAAACGUGACGAUUUUAAGAUUAAUACUUUUGAUAAUUUUUUAUUUAUUUAAACAAUAAAAAAAAGUGCGCGAAGUUAAACAAACUAAUAAUUAAACAAUAAUAAAUUCGAUUAAAGAUUGCACGUAUUAAAUAUGAAAUAAUUUUAAUUUGCUUUAUUUUAGUUUUCAAUUUUAAAUUGGCGGUCUAUGGCUACGUGUGACGUCAUCAAAAUCAAACCUUUGAUUGACUUUGAUAGUUACUGGAUCAGUUUCGUAUUGUAUUUCGACGAGUGAACAUCGAAAUUCUGACAGGAUGUGUCUCCUGCAAGUAUCAACUAAGACUUAAGAACUUUAUUGCAAUCGUGCGCGUAGCAAUGAAGUAAUCGAGUGUUUGUUUCGCUAAAAUAAAAAUUCGCGUUUCGCGAUUUAAACAACAAGUGUUUUUGCAUGAACUGCGUGCAAUGCAGUCGUUAGAGUCAGUGUUUGUUCGCAAAGUUUUUUGAUUUUUUCACAGUCGUACAGACUGUAUUUAUAAAAAAUAAGAGUUCCGCGAAUUAAAUUCAGUGAACGUUCGUUAAUAAAUAACUAUCGCGAAUUAGAGUCAGUGUAUCACUGAAAAGGAUCUCAACUAACUUCGAUAUGGACCUAUCUCAUUUUCAACCACCUACGAAUCAUCCACCCUCAAUUUCGACCUAAAUCGCGGACGAGUGUUUUGGAGCCAUCGUAGAACUUCUUAAGUAGUUAAAUGAGGGAUCGAUCAUCAUGGAAUUAGAUUUUUACAGAGAAAUUUAUGAAAUCUCUUUGUAUGUAAUUCUAAUUCUCUCUUUUUCUGUUUCAGAUAAAUAUAUAUGAUAUUGAAUAGAUGAUAAGAACAUUGAGAGUAACAUCUCGUAUAAAACUCGUAUCAAAUACACUCGUCAUAAAUUUAUUUUGAUCGACAAAUUCUAUCAGAAAUUUGCAAAUUUGAAUUUAAGUAUCGUUUCGUAAUUAAAAAAAAAAAAAAAAGAAAAAAAAUGUGGAUACGAUUGUUUUAUUUCAAUUUUGAACAAUGAAGAAACGAUUACGAUUAAAAUGUGUUUUUAGAAAAUUAUAUUACAUCUGAAUUGUUUUCCAAUUUUUAUUGUUAUACAUUGAAAUAAAAUAGAUUAAAAUAAAGUAAAAUAUUCAUGUAUGUAUCUUUAAAAAAAUUCUACUAAGCAUUCUCAAUCAAAUUUCAAUUGAAAACUCGUUACUCAUUCCAAAGUGUAUACUGAUUUAAUUUAAAAAGAAUAAAAAUUUCAUCAAAUUAAAGUAAGAUAAUUAGUAUAAAAAAAGAAGAAAAAGAAAAACUUGAAA